CCCCAAAGGGUUGAGUUCAGUUCAGGGUUCUCCCCCCCUGUGCUGGUAAUUAAACUUUGGGACAGUAAAUAGUUGGGAGGAACGUCGGGGUGGAAAGUUUCAUUUUUCUGCCAGUCCGGCUCUCUCAACCCACAAUA
ensembl:snoRNA